UGGGGAAUAUUGCACAAUGGGGGAAACCCUGAUGCAGCGACGCCGCGUGAGCGAAGAAGGUUUUCGAAUCGUAAAGCUCUGUCCUAUGAGAAGAUAAUGACGGUAUCAUAGGAGGAAGCCCCGGCUAAAUACGUGCCAGCAGCCGCGGUAAUACGUAUGGGGAGAGCGUUGUCCGGAAUUAUUGGGCGUAAAGGGUACGUAGGCGGUCUAUUAAGUCAGGUGUGAAAGCGUGAGGCUUAACCUCAUUAAGCACUUGAAACUGAUAGACUUGAGUGAAGGAGAGGAAAGUGGAAUUCCUAGUGUAGCGGUGAAAUGCGUAGAUAUUAGGAGGAAUACCGGUGGCGAAGGCGACUUUCUGGACUUUUACUGACGCUCAGGUACGAAAGCGUGGGGAGCAAACAGG
rnacentral:rRNA from 1 species